GGCGACCGGGUGAGUAACACGUGACUACCUGCCCUUGAGUGGGGGAUAACCUCGGGAAACCGAGGCUAAUACCGCAUAACCGCAAGCAAAGGAGCGCUUUUGGAGGGGGUCGCGGCUGAUUAGCUAGUUGGUAGGGUAAUGGCCUACCAAGGCAAAGAUCGGUAUCCGGCCUGAGAGGGCGCACGGACACACUGGAACUGAGGCACGGUCCAGACUCCUACGGGAGGCAGCAGUGGGGAAUUUUGCGCAAUGGGGGAAACCCUGACGCAGCAACGCCGCGUGGAGGAUGAAGGCCCUUGGGUCGUAAACUCCUUUCGACCGGGAAGAUUGACGGUACCGGUGGAAGAAGCACCGGCUAACUCUGUGCCAGCAGCCGCGGUAAUACAGAGGGUGCGAGCGUUGUUCGGAAUUAUUGGGCGUAAAGGGCGCGUAGGCGGUGCGGUAAGUCACCUGUGAAAUCCCCGGGCUUAACUCGGGGCCUGCAGGCGAAAC
rnacentral:rRNA from 1 species